rnacentral:lncRNA from 1 species
AGAAAAUGAGUAGUGAUCCUGUUUUCAGUUAGAAAGGUUUCAAAACCAUCUUUAAAAAGUUAAAUCCAAGUCUUCAAGUUUUAUUCAUGCUCUUGAAAAAUAGCAGAUACCAUUACAUGUGCUUAUUUAUUUCACAUUUAAGAUCCAAGUGGAGAAAUCGGAUUAUAGUUUCCUUGUCUGCCGUAAACUAUGUGGAUGGUUUCGUUUCAGACGGUUAUAGGGUGAGUUCUGAAUGCUUCUCAGUUUAACUUUUAUCCCCAUUUUCUCCUCUGUGUAACUCGGUGUGAAAGUCCGGGGGAUGGAGAUCCGUAUCCGAUUUGUGGCAGGGCCCACAAGGAGAGAGGAGUACCCCAUGCAGGCGAAUCGCCUCGUUUUGUCUGCAGAGCCAAGAGAGGCUGAAGUUGGCUGCAGGACAGUUUUCAGCGUCCGAGGAUGGGGUGGCCGGUCAGGCAGACCUGCCCCGCAGGAUGUUCCCGGGAGCAAGCAGUGAGCCCGCCCGCCCCCACGCUCCCUGCCCGGGCGCCCAGCGUGGAGGCUCCCCUGGUCUCCCCACACGGCCGGGGCCUCGCCCCAGCCCCAGCGCAGCCCCUCACCAGCUCCCAGAAACCGGUGAGAAGCAGCCCAUAGCUUGUUACCUGUUUAUCCGAAGGACAGAUCGGUGCUCAAGAAAGGUGGCGACACGGAGGCCCAGAGUGAGGAAGUCAUGUAUUCAAGGUGGCAGAGCUGGGAUUUGUAUAUCAUCUCUGUACCUGAGCCCCUAACCUGCAAGUCAUAAUAGGCAACGGAUCAAUGUUAUGAUGCAGUGGAGGCCCUUACCAGAAGCCAACCAGAUGCCAGCACCAUGCUCUUGGAUUUCCCAGUCUCCAGAAUGGUGCAGGUGGAGACGGAACCCUAGACACUGCUCAUCCCAAUCAGGCCCUUUCCAGGCCUGUCCCAUUCCAAUCGGGCAUCAGAUGUGGCAUUGAUCAUCAUCUACUUAACAAACGAGGCUCCCCUUUCAAUGCACUUGGGUCUCCUCUGGGCCAACCUUGGUUCUGAGAUAGCAGGUGCUGAAAUACUGCUGAAUCCUCAAAGCCAGACUAGCCAGUGCCUGGCACCUGAUGGGAAUAUGAUUUCAACGAACAGCUCACAGAAUCCUCCCCACAAAGCCGAGAAGCAGGAAGCAGCAACCCUCCCAGAUGAAGAAGCGAAGGCUCGGAAAAGCUAAGUAACUUCUCCAAGCUGACGCAGCUCGUGAGAGGAGGGACUGGGAUUCAAAUCCCUGCAGGGGGAGACCAGCAGCCCCGACUUCAGCCGCCAUGCCUCCUGCCUGAGAAGCUAGCUGCGAAGGUUCCAGAAGGAGACUGCCCUCCGGGAACAGAAACAGCGCAUGACUGCGACCUGUCUGCAAAAAUCUUGAUCACUUGUAAAUCCUUCUCCACCUGAUAAGUUAUCACAUUGGCUCAUGAUGUUUUUUUUCAUUCUCAGUGAGUUCAAAAUACUAUUUUGGUUUGUCUCAGUUUCUUCCUCUCUCUCUCUCUCUCUCUCUCUCUCUCUCGUAUAAAGGUAUCCACAUGUCACAUGUCAUUUGUUGAUAAUUAAAUUUUGAAUAGACAAUUCAUUGUCAAAACCAUCAAACAGUAUACUACAUGUCUGCAUUUGACUCUAUAUACAUUUUACCUAACAAGGAAAGCCCAUAAACAAAUACGAAAGUCUGGCUAAUGAUCCACAUACAGAAGUGUUUGGGAGGAUGGGCUCUGAGAUCUACAGCUUACUUUGAAAGGCAUCAAAGUGUAUUGACGGACGUCUGGAUGGAUGGAGGGAUAGACGUGUGUUAAACUAAACAGACCAACAUGGCAAUUACAGAAACUAGAUGAUAAGUACAUCGAUGCUCACUGUACAAUUCUUCAUGUUGCUAAUUUUCAUUAACAUGUUCAAAAAUUCUGAAUACAGACACUAGGUAGAAACUCCAAAGACACAAGUUAAAUGUAAGUAAGUCUUCCUCCACCUCAUCCUGUCUGUCAGUCUUUCGGGUUCCCUAACAAUGGCAAUGGCAAUCCCUAGUACCUGUGGCUCUGGGGUAUCAUUCCAGGGAUAUUCUAUGCCUGUUUUAACACAUAGAUGAUUUAUUUUCAGUGAUGAUAAUGAUAACUAAUAAUUAUGCCGCACUUGCUACAUGCCAAGCACUGUCCUGUUUAACAUACAUUGAUUUAUGAAAUCUCUUCAACAGCCCUAUGGCGUGGAUGCUGUUACUACCCCAUUUUACAAAGGAGUAAAGUGAGGCCCAGAGAGAACAGUUAAAUCACUUCCCCAGCUUCACUCAACUCAUCUACGGUGAGUCGACGGUACACAUGCCCUUCCACAACACAAAGGUCUCCACUUUGCCACGUGUCACUCUGAUGGUUCCAGGUGCAGAUUUUGCGUCUGCUUCUUGACUUCUAAUGGCUGCACCAUUUUGCAUUGGAUGGUUAUACCAUCAUUUAUUUGACUCAUCUCCUGUGCACAAGCAUCUAGUUUAUCUGCAAACUUUUGCUACCAAAAACAAUGCUGCAAUGAAUAAAUAAGCUGAUGCCUGCUUCUAAGCGUGCGUGCAUGCUGUAAUGUGAGAUGAAUUCCCAGAAGUGGAGUGGCUGAGUCCAAGAGUAAAUGCAUUUUUCAUUUUGAUAGUAUCGCCAAAUGUCUUUCCAAAGGGGUUGUGCUGGAUCCCACUCCAGCUAGCAAUGUGUGAGAGCACCAAUCCCACCGCCCACUGCAGCACACAUAUUGACGUCGGCUAGUCCAAUACCAGCACAGGCAGCUGGGC